CCCCCCCCCCCCCCCGGUUGCUACGGCCCUGGAGAGGGUCUGGGGUUUUCUCCCCCAGAAAAUUUUUGUAUUUUUCUACCCCUAUGACUGCAAUUCCCUGCCUUUUUCGAAACAGAUUAUUGGAUACACAGCAUUACAUUAUGCUGUAGAUAGACUGAACCUUCAGUUAAGUACUGUUAGUAUGUUUAUGUAAAUACCACAACUUGGUCGUCAAUUAAGGAGCCAGCUUGAUAAACUUAGAGUUCCCGACUCCCACGAAGCGCCAGCAUGGAAAAAUUUUGAAAAUUUUGCGUCUCUAAAUCGUCGGGAAUGGCAUUUUCAAAGUCUUCUAUACGUCUUUUGUUUGGCCCUUUCGUUAAUUCGUUCAUUAUGAUUUGUGAGUCUAUGAUAUCCGCGAGUCAGGAUGGAUUAUUACGAGAAAUGUUAUCAAAAUAUCGAUUACAGAUAUAUGAUUUCAAAUACUUCUAGUUUCGAAAUCAAAUUGUUUCUUUUGUGGGGGGCCAAAAUUAUCCCCCCCCC